AGAGGAUGGCCUCACAGGCUUCUGUCAAGACUUUGGCUUUUACCCUGAGUAGACUAAGGAGCUACUGAGGGCUCUGUGAGGAACUGGGCUGUCUAAAUGCUGCUUGCUCUGACUUCUGUGUCAAAAACAAAUGGUAGGACAUGUUGAGGAUGAGAGCCAGGACAACCCUCAGGAACCUCUGCAGACGAUGGCUAUGCAAGGUGGCAGCAGAGGUGAGAAGCAUUGGGAUUCCAGAUACAGCUUGAGGACAGAGCCAACCCCAUGUAGUCUUGGAUGCCCCUUAUCUUUCAGUCCUUUGCUUCCAUCUCUCUUCUUUCCUGCUCCCAAGCCUGCUGUCUUCUCUUUCUCACUGCACUCUCUUCCUUGGUAAACUCGCUUACUUAGGUGGCUUACCUAUGCUCUCACAGCUAGGCAGGGAAGACUCCCCUUUUCUUCCACUUCUAAGACAACAUAGGUUCCAUAGGUAGAAUGCCAUGACCAGUCUUUCUAGCUCUUGAAUACAGUUUCAGACCAAGAACCCGGGUAGCUUUGUUCUCAACCCCUGAGCAAGCCAGCUCUGUCCUGUCCUAAAAACAGAACCAACUCUCUGGACUCCAGCUUAGAAUAAGGAAGACAAUACUUCACAGAGUGCAUUCUUAUUUACUAACCUAUUAUUUAGUUAGACUCCAACAACAACCCUGAGAUAUAGGGAAGGCAGGAAGAAUUACAUCCUCUCAGGAAUUAGUAAACUAAUAGAUUGAGUGACUCAUCCAAGGAUGAUGUCAGUGAGCAGUGGGGACAGGACUACAGCUCAAAUCUGCUGGUUCCCAUCAACAAUACCUGCUUUCCAGUCCCUAGAAUCCCAGACCCUUUUCACAACAAGGAGUCUCAUAAAGCAGAAAUAAGAGCACCCCAGUUUUCUGUGCAUUCUGGCAACGAAGUAAUUGUGAAACUGAGACAUCUUCUCAGGACUGCUCCACAUUGCCCUGGAGCUCAGGCUCAGCUGGAGUCCCCGAUAAAGCUCCCAGUGAGGGCGCCCCUUCCUCCUGCAGUUCUGUGAGAAGAGUAAAACCCUGCCAGCCCGGAUGUGAGACUAUCUUGCCAUUGACAGGUCUCCUUCCCCCAGGGUACUCUUCAUUUUGCUAUUAACUGAGGGAAAUGAGAUAGCAGCUCAAGUUUUACACCAUGAGUUGAGAGUACAGACGUGCCGCUGUGUGGUGGAGCCGGAUGCUCUGUGGUCGGUAAUGGCCUUCAAACUGAAUGGAUAAUGAAGGCUGACUAAGAUGCUAAGCUUAGGCUAUAAUUAAUUUAGAAUUUGAAAUGGGGAGAAACCUUGGUUGUUUCAAGCUAGUCAAACCAGAGGCUGCCUUAGGGCAGUGAUUCCUUCUCACAUUCCCAUUAAAACCAUGUACCUAUAAAAAGGUAGCUCCAUGUCACCACAGUGGUAACCCUUCUCUGUGACUCAUUUCCCAUUAUGAGCACAAUUAGCAUGCAGCAUGUGUCCUGGGAGAUUAAUGAUCCGCUGGAGGGAAGAAAGAGGAACUUGGGGAAUGGAUCUGGGUGUAGUCAGAGCUCGCCUCUCCCUAGGAGCUGCCUUGGUGCUGUAAAGGAUCUCAUGUCUUUUGCCAGCUUCGAUGAAACUUGUUAGUUGGAAAGCAGAGUGAAAUCUCAGGCUCUACAAUUCUUGACAUAAGAAAACGGAGGCUCCCAGAGAUUUGACAACGUGCCCACAGCAAUGACCAAAUCAGACUUGGUGCUAGGUCUGCACCUCCCCAAAGCCAGCAUGUUUGUGCGCUCUGCUGCCACUGCCACCCGCUGGCCCAGCACAUGAUGUGAACCGUCACGCAGACCUGGAGUUCUGUCUCCUGGGUGGGCUGCUUGCCAACACCGGGGUGGCUGGCCCCUGCCUAUGUCAGGUGUUGCAGUGUUGACUCUCUUCGUGUGCUGUUGGGCAGGUGGAGCUGGUUGUGCUAAGCCCGAGAAAACAUCCAAUGUGCCAAACUUUCCUUCUGCUGGUUAUUUAGUAAGCCCAGGAAAAGAACAAAUCCUGCCCCAAACAGAUGAUCUUCUUGAGGAGAGUGGUUACGGCGAUGAUGCCAGCAUGCAGUGGGGAGAUUGGACUUUUCGAGAUUCUUCCAGCCCUUUGCUUCCCACAUUUCAUAACGCUUGAUGGUGACAGCUCUGCUGUUUGGGAAAAAGAUAAUACUUAUGUCGCUUUUAGAGACACUUUACUGAGUCCCUCUCGCAAUGCCUAUUAAGUAGAGAAAAUAGCAAAAUUAACCCGAUUUGCUCAUCACUCAGUUUUGGCCGUUAUCAACUAAUGGCCACUCUAGUUUCUACUGGGGUCCCAUAUACUCUGCCUGUUCCCUGAUUAUUUAGGUGCUGAUCUCAACAUUGUAUCCUUUUGAUGCAUUCCAAAGCAAAAAUAUUGAUUCCUAAGCUAUCCUUGUGAAUUUUCUGAUUCAGGAGGUCAGGAAUGGGGCCUGAGAAUCUACACAUAUUUUCGAUUCUCCAGGUCUGGGAAGCUACAGUGUAAAGGAAUGAGCAUGGACUUUACAGUAAAAAAGUCUGAGUUUGAGUCUUGGCUUUGCCCAAGCCUUAUAACUUUGGACGAAAACUUCAAGUUUUUGGACCUUGACCUCUUUGUCUUCGAGGAUCACCUACUCUGUGAACUUGUGGUCCACUAAGACCCUCCAACAUUUUUCACAUUAAAUACAUGCUAUCAAUCUUGUAUCUCUCAGCCUUCCCCUGCCUUGGUGUUAGGCUGGGGAUGGCGGCAGCAGGAUUACAUGUGAGUUAUCCUCCUUUGUGGUGUUUGCAUCCACAAGAUCUCUCCAAGCUGUGUUCCCUGUCUCCCAUGUGGUGUGUCCCAACACUGUGCCCCCUUUAGUCCCAUUCAAGCCUCCCUCAUGCUAUUUGCUCAAACCCACUGUGCCCAGCUCCCUGGGAAACUGAUGGGCAGAACCUAUCCCUGAACAGUAUUCUUCAAUCACAAAAUUCUUGCACCUAGAGUAAAACUGACAUUUGAUUCAGGUCAAUGAUCGUUUUUCCCAACCAAAACCAAAUCCUAAUUUCUGUGGUUGGCAUGCAUGCAGUCAUUUGGUGCUUAUGAAAAAGAAAGCAGGCUUCACUGAGUUGCAAAAACAAGAACUUUGCUGGCUUUUGGUGUGCUCAGCAUUUUUCUGAAUGAAGACGGCAACUCACAGUGAAUACAGCUUUUUUUUUUUUUUGGUUAUUUAAUUAAAUGGAGUUCAGAGGGAAGGAACAUAAAUAAACAAGACAAGCAAAUUGGGACGCACAUUUGAACUAGAAUGAGAAAAGAGCGGUUUCCUGAGGCGGAACACCUUCACAAUGGAGUACAGCUUUAUUUAGUACAACACUGCCCCUGCAAAUUGUGUCCUCAGUUGUUUUGGGGAGUUGAAUGUAACUUGUGCUUUCACAGCGACAACUAAUAGCAACGAAAGGCCCUAGGAAACGCACGGCUGCAAGAGACUGACUUACAGUGGGAAUUUGGGAAGCCAUGUGUUAGAACAAAAAGGAACUGCAACCACCUCAUUGUAUGCCUGAGAAACAGAAGCUGAGAUCUCAUUAUUUGCUCAAAGCUGCACAGCCAGUUGGCAGAAGAGCACAAACCAGCACCCUGGGUUCCUGACCAGUGCUCUUUCCAUGGAGAGGUUUAGGUGGUGGUUAGAAGCACAGACACCAGGACAGACUGCCUGGGUUCAGACCUCAGCUCUGUCCCUUCCUGGCUGGAAGAUCUUGUGCAAGAGUUAAAUCCCAUAGGGGCCGUAUCAGCCAGAGUUUCAGUAGGAAACAGAUGGAACACCAAAUUAGGGUCAUUGGAGGGGGUAUUUAUAAACGAUCAUUUUAAAGAUGUGGUUGGAGCAUGGGGAAAACACAGGCGCCAGUACAGGGACACAGGGCGAGCAGUGUUAGUGCUGUCCCCAGCACUGGGCCAGAAGGAACAAAGGGAGAGAGAGGCUGCAGAGCCUUGUUCUGAAAGCAGCCAUGUCCUCAGGUGGGGGAACCCAGACAGUUACCGUCAUCUUGUA